CUGGGCUGUAGGUCUCCUUAAUGGUGCUGCGCUGUAGGUCUACUGAAUGGUGCUGGGCUGUAGGUCUACUGAAUGGUUCUGUAGGUCUACUGAAUGGUCCUGUAGGUCUACUGACUGGUGCUGUAGGUCUACUGAACGGUGCUGGGCUGUAUGUCUCCUGAAUGGCGCUGGGUUGUAGGUCUACUGAAUGGUGCUGGUCUGUAGGUCUACUGAAUGGUGCUGGGCUGUAGGUCUACUGAAUGAAGCUGGGCUGUAGGUCUACUGAAUGGUGCUGUAGAUCUACAGAACGGUGCUGGGCUGUAGGUCUACUGAAUGGUGAUGGGCUGUAGGUCUCCUGAAUAGUGCUGGGCUGUAGGUCUACUGAAUGGUGCUGCGCUGUAGGUAUACUGAAUGGUUCUGGGCUGUAGGUCUCCUGAAUGGCGCUGGGCUGUAGGUCUACUGAAUGGUGCUGGGCUGUAGGUCUACUGAAUGGUGCUGGGCUGUUGUUCUCCCAAAUGGUGCUGCGCUGUAGGUCUACUGAAUGGUUCUGUAGGUCUACUGAAUGGUGCUGGGCUGUAGGUCUACUGAAUGAAGCUG
ensembl:lncRNA